rnacentral:rRNA from 1 species
AGCGGGAAGAGCUCAAAUUUGUAAUCUGGCACUUUCAGUGUCCGAGUUGUAAUCUCGAGAAGUAUUUUCCGCGCCGGACCGCAUACAAGUCUGUUGGAAUACAGCGUCAUAGUGGUGAGAACCCCGUAACUGAUGCGGAUGCCCGGUGCUUUGUGAUAUACUUUCGAAGAGUCGAGUUGUUUGGGAAUGCAGCUCAAAUUGGGUGGUAAAUUCCAUCUAAAGCUAAAUAUUGGAGCAAGACCGAUAGCGAACAAGUACCGUGAGGGAAAGAUGAAAAGCACUUUGGAAAGAGAGUUAACAGUACGUGAAAUUGUUGGAAGGGAAACGCUUGAAGUCAGACUUGCUAUUCGGAGUUCAGCCGCAAGGUGUAUUCUUCGAUUCGCAGGCCAGCAUCAGUUUUUGGGGGUGGAAAAUCGCGGUUUGAAGGUAGCAACUUCGGUUGUGUUAUAGCUUUCCGCUGGAUUCAUCCUUGGGGACUGAGGAACGCAGUACGCUUUUUGCAAGGCUCUCGAGCUUUUCGUACUUAGGAUGCUGGUGGAAUGGCUUUAAACGACCCGUCUUA